rnacentral:lncRNA from 1 species
CAUCUUACAAAUGUAUCAUCUGCACAGCUGCUCCACUUAAUCCACAAAGUGUUUUUCAGAUUGCAUUUUAAAGAAGAAAAAGUAAAUUAGGGUAAACAAUUUACAAAAAUAUAAUCAGAGUAUAAAUAUUACACUCAAAAUAUUUAGAGAAGAAAUUGAAUCAUAAUCUUCAAUUUAUGCUAUGAAAAAAGAGCCAUGGGAAUGCUGUAAUGCCUGCACAGAGGGAAAAAAAUCUCAGGGUUAAGUUAUCUAAAUGAAAGAAAAAGGACAUAAAGUCCUUAUAAGGUUUACUUUUGCUUUGUUUUUGGAGAGUAUGUCAGCAUAGCCAAUAUGCCAAAAUAUAUCUGAAAGCACCUUAACUUUAAUUUAUCUUCAUCUUCUAUCCUUUUUAAAAAGGCUUUCUGCUAGGCAAAUGUCAAUCAAAUUUCAUCUCUUCAAGUUGUCUAACCCUGAAGGAAAAUUAGAUCUCCAGCAAUGAAGAUGGAUUUUUAAAAACAAACAGAGGUGUUUGUUUCCUGAAAAAAAAAUUCUAACAUUCAGAGCAAAUUCUCCAGAAGGAGUUUAAUCAUAUGUGACUUCAAAACUCUAAUUGAAAUCAUUUUUAGAGGCAGAUUCAUAGACGUAGAAAAUAGACUGGUGGUGGCCAAGGGGGAGGUGGGAAUAGAGUGGGAUGGACUGGGAUUUGGGGUGAAUAGAUACAAACUAUUACAUUUAGAAUGGAUAAACAAUAAGGUCCUGCUAUAUAGCACAGGGAACUAUAUCCAAUCUCCUGGGACAGACCAUGAUGGAAAAUAAUAUAAAAAUAAUAUAUGUAUAUGAAUCAUAAUAUAUAUGAGUCACAUUGCUGUAUAGCAGAAAUUGGCACAGCAUUGUAAAUCAACUAUACUUUAAUAAAAAUUAAAUUAAAUUUAAAAAAUUUAUUAUCUGGGGCCAUUUUCAGGUGCUGCAGUAUAAUAAGUAUUUUAAUCAAUUGAUUUCUACUUUUCAGCAUACUUAAUUGCUCAGCCUCUUCAAGAGAUUUAGGUUGUAUGGAGUUGUCCAAUAAAAAUCUGAGAGCCUUCCUUGAGGGGAAAUAUGAAGACAGAAUCAAGCAUGGCCUCAAGGAGAAUAUGGUCAUAGGACUAGCCUGAAAAUAGAAGUGCCAUAGGGGCUUAAAGAUUGAACUAUGAGAGAAAUUCAAAAGGAAGAAGGUAUGAUAAAUUAAGUAUGACAUAUCAUUAAAUGUAUUAACAUUUUAAUUUGUUCCCUUUAAAUAAUCACGUAAUUUUUCAUCGCUUAUAAGAUGAAAUGUUAUAGAUAGGUAGAAAGAGAGAGAGAUAGAUGGAUAGAUAUAAGCUAUUCUAUUGCCAACUGCAACUUAGAAAAAUAAUAACUGAGGACAAUGAAAUUAAAUUAUAUUUUUAAAAUGUAGUGAUAUUAUGUGGUAUUAUCAUUCUAAAAUAUGGAUUCUCAACCUCAACCUUAUUGCUAUUUUGGACCAAAUAAUUCCUUGUUAUGUAUGGGGAGGCAGGAUAAUGUUCUACGUAAUAUAAGAUGUUUACCAGCAUCCUUGGCUAUGCUUUAGAUACUAGUAACGACCCCUUGUCACAAUUGUGAUCACCAAAAAUGUUUCUUGAAAUUGCAGUUUAGAACCAUUGCUCUAAAUCAUCCUUCAGAUAUUAGCUUAGAUUCCACUUUCUCUGGCAAAGCAUUCUUGAGUAUUCCAGAUGAAAUGCAUGGUCUCCACUAUGUGACCCUAGAUGUACCUCUAGAUACCUCUUUCCCACAUAUGCUAAUUAUCUAUUCACUUAUCUGCACCUCCCAGUAGAGUAUUUACUUUGGUCUGGAAAUGCGUUUUAUUCACCAUUGGCUCACCACAUAGUAGACACUAUGCAAAUAUGUUGAGUGAAUCAAUAAAGGAAGAAAGAAAGGAAGAAGGUAGGUAGCUACAGAGGUCAUGAUAGAGGGGAGAGCUGCUUCCUGCAUCACAGGACUCCAGUAGAUGCCAGCAGCACACUCACCCAGAGUUGUGAUAACUGAAAAUGUCUUCAGACAUUGCCAAACAGUCCCUGUGGUAAAAAAUUGUCUCUGGUUGAGAACCAGUGCUCUAAAAGACUAUACAGAGAAAUGAAAAAUAUUUAGUAAAGUUCAGUUUUGAUAUAAAAAGAACAAUACUUUCUUUUGCAGUGCUUUAAUUGUCCUGUUCAAUUAAAAAAAAAAAGUUCUGAUCUGUUGAUGGACAUUUAGGUUGUUUCCAUAUCUUGGCUAUUGUGAAUAUUUGAACGUAUGGGUGCAUGUAUCUUUUGAAUUGCAGUUUUGUCUGGAUAUAUGCCCAGGAGUGGAAUUGCUUAUAAAUUCUAUUUUUAGUUUUCUGAGGAACUUCCAAAGUGUUUUCCAUAGUGGUUGUACCAAUUCAAAUUCUUGACAACAGUAUAGGAGAGUUCCCUUUUCUCCACACCCUCUCCAGAACUUGUUACUUGUAGACUUAUUAAUGAUGGCCAUUCUGACCAGUGUAAGGUGGUACCUCAUUGUAGCAACCCAAAUGUCCAUCGUAAAAUGAAUGGAUUAUGGAGAUAUGGUACAUAUAUACAAUAGACUACCACUCAUCCAUAAAAAGAAUGGAAUAAUGCCAUUCACAGCAACAUGGUCACAACUGAGAUUAUCAUACCAAGUGAAGUAAGUUAAAAAGACAAAGACAAGUAUCAUAUGAUAUCACUUACAUGGGGAAUCUAAAAUAUGAUUCAAAUGAACCUAUCUAUAGAACAGAAACAGACUCACAGACAUGGAGAACAGAAUUGUAGUUGCCGAGGGGGAGGGAGGGGGCUGGACUGAGAGUUUGGGGUUAGUACAUGCAAACUAUUCCAUUUAGAAUGGAUAAGCAAUGAUUAUAUAAAAACAAAAACAAGAACAAAACUCUGAUUCAGUAAUGGUUUUGAGAGGAGAUUUGAAAUGGGAUCCUGACAUCUGGUUGGCUGUAUGAUUUUGGUUAAACAUUCGAGCUUUAAUUUAUCCAUUUCUAAAACUUGGACAAUACUGACUUCUACAUAGAGCCAUUUCAUUUAGCAAAUAUUUACUGUCACUUGCUACCUGCUGGGUAGAUGCUGUGUCUGUUUCUGAAGGUGUGCAACAGUGGUAGGAAUCCUUAUGUUUUUGCACCCAUGGAUUUCAUUCUCGGAAGUGGAAAAAUAUCCAAUUACUUCCCAUAUAAAAUUUAAAUGAAAAAUUCCCAACAGAGUGUCUAUUAAGCUGAACACAGGUCUCCAAGAAUAUAUAAAAAGAGUAGCAUGACACAGACUGGGGUGUCGCUAAGAUUUCCCUGAGGAGCUGGCACUUGAUCUGUGGCUUGAGGGAAAUGCAAACACUAUGUAAGGGGAGCAGAAGGAGAAGGGCAGGGAAAUUAAAUGAGACAACAUAUACGUGAAAACAUCAAGUGGGGGCUGGCCUGAAGCCCUGAAGAAAAUCAGUGAAUACAAACAACAAUGGAUUAUAAAUAAUCAGCACCAUCACUGACAGAGUUGGCAGACAGGAAUAGAACAUCAAGCAAAGUGACAUUUAAUAUCUUUCUCACAACUAAAGAAAAUUCAACGUUCAUUUUACACAAUUUUAAACUAAGAUACACGUGUUCAGAGAAAAAAAAAAAACCGUGAUAAUAAUACUGUCAAAAUAAAAAGUUAUUUUCUGAGUAUAGAAAGUUGGAGCCUUAAACAACGUGACCGUCUGGGUGUACACUUCCCCACUGCAUUGUAUAUUAGGGAAGAAUUCUUGAGUCAGGGAACAACAAGGAUUAGCACACAGUCCCCUUAAUAAAGCCCUACUAUUCCUCUUUGCUAACAGUCUAUGAGAACUCCAGCCAUCAGUUAAACAAAUCAUUUGGCUGCGAACAGACCAUUUACCAUAUGCACGAGUUACUAAUUUCCUGGACAUUAUCAGCCAUUAGCUGGUUUCCUGUGUCCCAGCAAAUGCUGAGGUGAGCCUUGAUUGCCAAGACUGCACAUUUCAGACAUUAAUCCGUGGAUCGUUUCCUACAUCUAAGAUAUAAUAACACUCUAUCUGUGGUUCUUUUGUUAAAUACAUAUGGGAAAGGACCAAAAAGUUCAAGUGAAGGGAAAUGUGUAAAAAAAAAGAAAAGCUAGCAGUAUACUAGUAUAAUUAUGCUGGUGAAAUUAUUGAACAUUUGGGGAACUUAGUGAGAGCAGUAUGAGACUAAACAAUUCACUAAGAAGCUCCCACACAGCAUUUAAGGAUUUCUUUAGAACUCAGAGUGUGUUUCUCUUAGGAUUGAAUAUGCUUCAAAAAUACUAUUUUAGUAGAUGAGCCUAUCAAACUACUAUUCUACAAAGACCAUGUCUACCAGGAUUAUUCUUGGCUAUUUAAUAUCAUUCAAAGUUUUUACUUAACAUUUAUAAUAGUUGGUCUACAUGUUAUAUUUUUUAAAAGCUAGAUUUGAAGAAAAGAAAGAAAGAGGCAAAACUCAACAAAGUGUUUUCUGGAAAAGUCAAACCAGUUUGCAUUUAAACAAUUAACUUGGUAUGAUGCCUAGCUCACUCACAGCAUUCAAAUUCUUAUCUCUCUUCAGUAGAAUGCAUUUGUGAAUAGUUCCUGUUAAUGUUGAAAUGAUAUAAAUAAUAAUGUAAUAAAUAUAGCAUGCACAGAAAAUCAGACUGCAGAAGCCUAUUAUUUAAUUUGUUAUUAUUUAACUUUAGGCUCCAUUUUCAAUCAAAAGGCAGAUGUGCUAUGAAGCUGUCAAACAUUUUUGGAUAUAUUGAGUAGUUGAAUGGGAAAAUGAUGAUAAUUAACAUCUUCUUAAAAAAUAAGUAUUUUGUAGAAGAAUGUGUGCAUAUAUGUAUGCAUACAUUUUUGCAUGUGCAAUUGUAUACCCAAUUUCCUCAAGCCUUUUAAAAUAUGAGUCAUUGAUCUUCAUUUUCAAAUAGCUGGCAUAUGUCUUAAGAAAGAAAGAUGUCCGUCUUAUGCAAUUAUCACCAUCACCUGGAAUGAUAAUCUGAACCAUUUUUGGUGGACUUAGGAAUUAUGUCCGCCCAGAUAAGUGUCUGGGAAAUGAGUUAAAGGAAUAUUCCAGUGCAAAAGUUAGAUGAAGGUCACAAUGAUUUAUCAGAGUUGAAAAUUAUUUUAAUAACCAACACUAGUUACUGAUUUGUUCAUUUAUUCUUUGUUUCUUUCCAAAAAGAUUCAUUAAGUUACUACUAUGUAGUAGCUCUAACAGAUUAUGAAGUCCACUGUAUUUGUGAUUUUGUCCAGUCUGCUUCUUCACUUUAGAAAUUAAAUAACUAGGGGGUGACAUUACAAUAUAAUCAAAUAAGACAACCUUCAUCCAUAACAACAAUUCUGCAUUCAUUCACAGACAAAUGUGCCUUUGUAGGAGCUGUGGGAUCCAGCAAGGGACCUGGAAAGAGUCUUACCCAUCCCUCCAUCAGGUAUGAGGCAUACAGAAUCUAAUCUCAGCUGUAGAUACUGCAGUGGUCCAUCAACUGGCAUCAGUCCCUCUCAGCUAUAUUUCAGGAGCCUCUGGAAACAGUGUCUUAGACAAUCACUCAUGAAUGAUAGAGCCUUAAUUGAAGUCCAGGUUUCUAGUGGAAAAAAUUGCAACACAGAGUUGGAACAAAAGAACACAGAUUUGGACACACUAGAGAGGGUGAAAUAAAGAGUUUGACCUUACUUAUGUUAGCCCUCAUCCAAGGUGGUACAGUUUGGUGCCAAAAGAGACCAUCUCAGCCUGAUUUUACACAAGAGGGAGGGUGAGCAGAUGUGUGAAGGUCCAGCUGUGAAGGACACUACAGAGAGGGCCAUUUUCCCAUUCUCACUCCAAAGUGUUGAGCUGCCUGACUCAGAUUUGAAAAAGGGCUGGGAGAGUAGCAGAGAGGAAUUUCAAAGGGUAUUAAAGUGAUGAGGUUUCUACUAA